rnacentral:rRNA from 1 species
AUUGAACGCUGGCGGCAUGCCUUACACAUGCAAGUCGAACGGCAGCGGGGGAGAAGCUUGCUUUUCCUGCCGGCGAGUGGCGAACGGGUGAGUAAUACAUCGGAACGUGCCCUGUAGUGGGGGAUAACUAGUCGAAAGAUUAGCUAAUACCGCAUACGACCUGAGGGUGAAAGUGGGGGACCGCAAGGCCUCAUGCUAUAGGAGCGGCCGAUGUCUGAUUAGCUAGUUGGUGGGGUAAAGGCCUACCAAGGCGACGAUCAGUAGCUGGUCUGAGAGGACGAUCAGCCACACUGGGACUGAGACACGGCCCAGACUCCUACGGGAGGCAGCAGUGGGGAAUUUUGGACAAUGGGCGAAAGCCUGAUCCAGCAAUGCCGCGUGUGUGAAGAAGGCCUUCGGGUUGUAAAGCACUUUUGUCCGGAAAGAAAUGGCGAGCUCUAAUACAGUUUGCUAAUGACGGUACCGUAAGAAUAAGCACCGGCUAACUACGUGCCAGCAGCCGCCGUAA